rnacentral:rRNA from 1 species
AGCGAACGCUGGCGGCAGGCUUAACACAUGCAAGUCGAGCGGGCGUAGCAAUACGUCAGCGGCAGACGGGUGAGUAACGCGUGGGAACGUACCUUUUGGUUCGGAACAACCCAGGGAAACUUGGGCUAAUACCGGAUAAGCCCUUACGGGGAAAGAUUUAUCGCCAAAAGAUCGGCCCGCGUCUGAUUAGCUAGUUGGUGAGGUAACGGCUCACCAAGGCGACGAUCAGUAGCUGGUCUGAGAGGAUGAUCAGCCACAUUGGGACUGAGACACGGCCCAAACUCCUACGGGAGGCAGCAGUGGGGAAUAUUGGACAAUGGGCGCAAGCCUGAUCCAGCCAUGCCGCGUGAGUGAUGAAGGCCCUAGGGUUGUAAAGCUCUUUUGUGCGGGAAGAUAAUGACGGUACCGCAAGAAUAAGCCCCGGCUAACUUCGUGCCAGCCGCCGCAGUAAC